rnacentral:rRNA from 1 species
UAGGGAAUCUUCCACAAUGGGCGAAAGCCNGAUGGAGCAACGCCGCGUGUGUGAUGAAGGGUUUCGGCUCGUAAAACGCUGUUGUAAGAGAAGAAUGACAUUGAGAGUAACUGUUCAAUGUGUGACGGUAUCUUACCAGAAAGGAACGGCUAAAUACGUGCCAC